AGUUUUGCACAGUGGUAGUACUGUAGCCAAUGAGGUUUAUCCGAGGUGCAAUUAUUGCUAAUUAAAAACUUUACCUAAUUUCCUACUGUGACAACUUGCGAUAUAUAUGUAUAUAU
rnacentral:snRNA from 1 species